UACGUAGGGGGCAAGCGUUGUCCGGAUUUACUGGGCGUAAAGAGCGUGUAGGCGGCCACGCAGGUCCGUUGUGAAAACUGGAGGCUCAACCUUCAGACGUCGACGGAAACCGUGUGGCUAGAGUCCGGAAGAGGAGAGUGGAAUUCCUGGUGUAGCGGUGAAAUGCGCAGAUAUCAGGAAGAACACCAAUGGCGAGGGCAGCUCUCUGGGACGGUACUGACGCUGAGACGCGAAAGCGUGGGGAGCGAACAGG
rnacentral:rRNA from 1 species